rnacentral:rRNA from 1 species
AUUGAACGCUGGCGGCAUGCCUUACACAUGCAAGUCGAACGGCAGCACGGGUGCUUGCACCUGGUGGCGAGUGGCGAACGGGUGAGUAAUACAUCGGAACGUACCUUAUCGUGGGGGAUAACGCAGCGAAAGCUGUGCUAAUACCGCAUACGCCCUGAGGGGGAAAGCGGGGGAUCGCAAGACCUCGCGCGAUUAGAGCGGCCGAUGCCUGAUUAGCUUGUUGGUGGGGUAAAAGCCCACCAAGGCGACGAUCAGUAGGUGGUCCGAGAGGACGAUCGGCCACCCUGGGACUGAGACACGGCCCAGACUCCUACGGGAGGCAGCAGUGGGGAAUUUUGGACAAUGGGGGCAACCCUGAUCCAGCAAUGCCGCGUGAGUGAAGAAGGCCUUCGGGUUGUAAAGCUCUUUUGUCAGGGAAGAAACACCGGCUCUAACACAGUCCGGGAAUGACGGUACCUGAAGAAUAAGCACCGGCUAACUACGUGCCAGCCGCCGCCGUAA